AGUGAACGCUGGCGGUAGGCCUAACACAUGCAAGUCGAACGGCAGCACAGUAAGAGCUUGCUCUUACGGGUGGCGAGUGGCGGACGGGUGAGGAAUACAUCGGACUCUACUUUUUCGUGGGGGAUCACGUAGGGAAACUUACGCUAAUACCGCAUACGACCUACGGGUGAAAGCAGGGGAUCUUCGGACCUUGCGCGAUUGAAUGAGCCGAUGUCGGAUUAGCUAGUUGGCGGGGUAAAGGCCCACCAAGGCGACGUUCCGUAGCUGGUCUGAGAGGAUGAUCAGCCACACUGGAACUGAGACACGGUCCAGACUCCUACGGGAGGCAGCAGUGGGGAAUAUUGGACAAUGGGCGCAAGCCUGAUCCAGCCAUACCGCGUGGGUGAAGAAGGCCUUCGGGUUGUAAAGCCCUUUUGUUGGGAAAGAAAAGCAGCAGGUUAAUACCCCGCUGUUCUGACGGUACCCAAAGAAUAAGCACCGGCUAACUUCGUG
rnacentral:rRNA from 1 species